CUAGUUUAAAUAAAACAAUAACUUGUGGAGUUAUAAUAUCUAACAUAAAAAACAUAUUUA
rnacentral:tRNA from 1 species